rnacentral:misc_RNA from 1 species
GAUGAAGAACGUAGCGAAAUGCGAUAAGUAAUGUGAAUUGCAGAAUUCAGUGAAUCAUCGAAUCUUUGAACGCAUCUUGCGCUCCUUGGUAUUCCGAGGAGCAUGCCUGUUUGAGUGUCAUGAAAUUCUCAACCUUUCUGGCUUUUGCUAGUCAGGCUUGGAUUAUGGGAGCUGCUGGCUUUUGAAGUCGGCUCUUCUAAAAUGUAUUAGCAAGAUCAUUGCUGCUCAUCAUUGGUAUGAUAAUUAUCUAUAUCAUUGAGAGUCAGUUUCCUUUAUUGGAAGAUUUUGCUCCUAACGGUCUUUAGCAAGACAACAUUUGACGAUUUUGACCUCAAAUCAGGUAGGACUACCCGCUGAACUUAAGCAUAUCAAUAAGCGGAGGA